UUGAUUUGGCUUGCAAUUGCUUGUUGGUGAUUGGCCAAAGCUUGUUGGCGUGGUUGAGUAUAUGUGAGACAAAGAGUCUAAAGGUUAACAGGUAGUUCCAAUUUGAUUGGCGUGUUUGUGGUUGGAAGACAGUUAAUGACGAUGACAGUAGUUGUAGGGUGCGACUCGAACCGGUGAGAUGGGCACGGAGGGGUCAAGUUGCAGGAAGGUUGCAGCUGAAUAGUGGCGUGGAAAAGUAGUGGUAGCGGCUUGUGGCUGUUACAUGCGAAGGAGAUGGAGGUCGAGAUGGGUGUGAUGGCGUUGAUUUGGCUAAAUCGGUAGAUGGUGUAGUGGAGGCGAGGAGACUGGACUCUGAUUGAAGAGCGUUGUCGGGGGUUUUGAGGGUUGCUGGCGAGUGAUGCGGCUGAGGGAUGCCGGUGUGGGCGUCUGCAAGUGACGCUGCUGAGAGAACAACGGUGUUGAGGUCGACUUCUGGCAGCGGUGUAAUGGGUUGAUUAUGUGGGCUAGGUAAUGGGUGUGUUAGGA
rnacentral:lncRNA from 1 species